rnacentral:snRNA from 1 species
UAUUUGAAAACUAGCUAG